ensembl:lncRNA
UGUGUGUGUGUGUGUGUGUGUGUGUGUGUGUGUGUGUGUGUGUUUGUGUGUGUGUGUGUGUGUGUGUGUUUGUGCAAACGAGUACAUGUCUUUAUUGAUCUGUAUCAGGAAAUACAACUACUAAGCUUUUCCGUUCAAUGUUUCAGUAUUUAUUUUUUUUUGUUAAAUCCUACAUCACAGUAUCACUGUAUUGAUGCAUUUAUACCAAUGACGUUUAACAUCAAAUUAAGAAAUCUGUUUGACUUUCUUUGACUCUAGACGAUACUGUAUGAUGCUUUUAUUGGAAAUAGCUGCAUUGCUGUUUGACUUCGAAGCAUAAGCGACCAAGCACUUUAAGUAUUCAAAAGACCAGAGGAUCAUUAUCAUUGGUUAAUGUCUUUGUUCAACUCAAGUUGUACAGCCAAUAGGUGGUCUUGUAAAUGACGCCAUUGUCAGAUAAUGACAAGGUUUAUCUAUCACACUAAAUGACCACUGGUCGGAUUAUAUGUUUACCUUUUUGAUAAAAUCUAGACCUAACUGAUCAUCCUUGAAAUCAAACCAGAUUUUCCUGAAUUAAUAUUCCAUUUGUUGUUGUGCAUUCCGAAGUGAAAGUGUAAGCUGUUGUUUUGUGGACAUAAAAUCUGAAACCUUCUUUCGGAAUGUGUUUGAAUGUCAAUUUUGUUUCAAAGCUUGGAUUAUUUAGCCUUUGUUAUUACAAAUAUUAACAUCAAAAUGCCUUGAUUUGUACAACUUAGAAUUUUUAUUUGACUGUGCCAUUGAAAUAUUGUUCCACAAAUAUUCAUGUUUUUCUAUAAAUAUUAAUCGGAUUGUUCACCCACAUUUCCAGGGGUAUUUUAUGCUUUCAUUAGCAAUGCAACAAUAUGGUUGAGAUCAUAAAUAGUGUUGGAUUGAUAUUUCAUGUAUUUCAUUUCAAAACGUAUUAACUGUCUGAAUGUGUCAAAGUAGCCUAAAUCAAUUACAUGAUAGGCUGGAAGAGGGUAAUUGGCAUUUAUUUAUGUUUCACUGUAGACCUGCUGUUUGAGUGAAAGAAAAUAAACAAAGUGUGUGAAACUGGCAGCCUGUUACGUUUUUGGUUAUAUUCCAAAUAAGACAUUCAAGCAAAAUCAUUAAAGAUUUAUACUAUCACAUUCUGAUUAAACUUUUUGGUUCCCAAGCGACUGAAGAAGGAGCCUCGGACGCUGAUUGGCUGACUGCUCAGAUCUAACAAAUGAAC